rnacentral:rRNA from 1 species
UACAGGGGGGGCAAGCGUUGUUCGGAAUUACUGGGCGUAAGGGGCUCGUAGGCGGCCAACUAAGUCCGACGUGAAAUCCCAAGGCUUAACCUUGGAACUGCGUCGGAUACUGGAUGGCUUGAAUUCGGGAGAGGGAUGCAGAAUUCCAGGUGUAGCGGUGAAAUGCGUAGAUAUCUGGAGGAAUACCGGUGGCGAAGGCGGGUCUCUGGGCCGAUACUGACGCUGAGGAGCGAAAGCGUGGGGAGCAAACAGG